rnacentral:rRNA from 1 species
UACGUAGGGUGCAAGCGUUAAUCGGAAUUACUGGGCGUAAAGGGCUCGUAGGCGGCCAACUAAGUCGGACGUGAAAUCCCCAGGCUCAACCUGGGAACUGCGUCCGAGACUGGAAGGCUUGAAUCCGGGAGAGGGAUGUGGAAUUCCAGGUGUAGCGGUGAAAUGCGUAGAUAUCUGGAGGAACAUCGGUGGCGAAGGCGGCAUCCUGGACCGGUAUUGACGCUGAGGCGCGAAAGCCAGGGGAGCAAACGGG